GAAUCUGGAGACAGUGCUGCAUGGCUGUCGUCGAGCUCGUGUCGUGAGAUAGUUGGGUAAGUCCCGCAACGAGCGCAACCCUUGCCUUAGUUGCCAGCAGUUCGGCUGGGCACUCUAAAGGGACUGCCGGUGUUAAACCGGAGGAAGGUGGGGAUGACGUCAAGUCCUCAUGGCCUUUAUGACCAGGGCUACACACGUACUACAAUGGCCGAUACAAAGGGCAGCGACACUGCGAGGUGAAGCCAAUCCCGUAAAAUCGGUCUCAGUCCGGAUUGGGGUCCGCAACUCGACUCCAUGAAGUUGGAAUCGCUAGUAAUCGUGGAUCAGCAUGCCACGGUGAAUACGUUCCCGGGCCUU
rnacentral:rRNA from 1 species